GGGCCUGUCGUCUAGCACGGAUCAUGACACCGGCCUGCGGAGCCGGAGGUCCUGGGUUCAAAUCCCAGCGGGCCCGCCA
rnacentral:tRNA from 1 species